UACUGAGUCUCUGAUUUAGUCCAAGUGC
rnacentral:piRNA from 1 species